rnacentral:rRNA from 1 species
AGCCAAAAACCCCUACAAAACCACCAAAUCCACUAACCAAACCAUUUACACCAGGCCAGUAAAUGCGAUUAAACACCACCUAUAGGCCCCAAUCAGUACCGCAAGGGAAACUUGAAAGAACAAUGAAAAUUUAAGCACAAAAUAGCAAAGAUAAACUCUUGUACCUCCCGCAUCAUGGUCUAGCAAAACACCACCAGACAAAGAGAGCUUUAGUCUGACCACCCGAAACCAAACGAGUUAUUUUUAAGCAGCUUAUUACUAGAGCACACCCGUCCCUGUAGCAAAAGGUGUGGGAAGACUUAAAAAUGGAGACGAAAAGUCAAUCGAGUUUGGUGAUAGCUGGCUACUCACAAUAGAAUUUAAGUUCUACCUUGAAAACCUAACUUAAGCCCAAAAACUUCACUAUUUUUUUCAAGGAUACUCAAUGGGGGUACAGCCCCAUUGAUCCGGGAUACAACCCGAAUUGAGAGACACCAACCCCCACAAUCUUAGUAGGCUUCAAAGCAGCCAACAAAAACCGCGUUAUAGCCUAAAUAAAACUAAUUCAACCAAUCAAUCAACUCUCCCUUAAAAUCUGAGUCAUUUUAUGCCAAAAUAAAAAUACCCAUGCUAGAACUAGUAAUAAGAAUAACUCUCUCCGCACAUCCUUAAGUCAGAUUAGAAAGCCUACCGACAAUUAACAGAUUCCCUCCUACAUACACCCACUAGCCCUUUGUACCUGAAAACUGUUAACCCAACACAGGUGUGCAAAAAAGAAAGGCUAAAAGCCGCAAAAGGAACUCGGCAAAAUUAGUCCCAACUGUUUACCAAAAACAUAGCCUUUAGCCCAACAAGUAUUAAAGGUCCCGCCUGCCCAGUGACUCUUAAACGGCCGCGGUAUCCUAACCGUGCAAAGGUAGCAUAAUCACUUGUCCCCUAAAUAGGGACUAGAAUGAACGGCUAAAUGAGGACUAAACUGUCUCUUGCAGCUAGCCAAUAAAACUGAUCUUUUAGUCCAAAAGCUAAGAUAAACCUACAAGACGAGAAGACCCUGUGGAACUUCAAACCAAGCCCAAAGUAUGCCACCUUGGUUUUUAGUUGGGGCGACUUCGGAGUAUAAAAAAACCUCCAACACAGACUUUGUUGCCAAGAUCAACACAUCUAAACAAUAGCACUAAGACCCAGUAAUUUAAUUAAUUAUCUGACCAAUGAACCAAGCUACCCCAGGGAUAACAGCGCCAUCCUCUUUUAGAGUUCAUAUCAACAAGAGGGUUUACGACCUCGAUGUUGGAUCAGGACACCCCAAUGGUGUAACCGCUAUUAACGGUUCGUUUGUUCAACGAUUAAAGUCCUACGUGAUCUGAGUUCAGACCGGAGCAAUCCAGGUCGGUUUCUAUCUGUAAAAAGUUGUUUUCAGUACGAAAGGACCAAAAUAACAGGAUCAAUAUUAAAAACACAUUCUCCAAAAAAUUACUGACGCUCAGCUCAAGUAGUUUCCUUUAUUCUCUCAACCCUAAACCAGGAUU